rnacentral:lncRNA from 1 species
UGAAGACUUUCCACGGGUUCGAUUUUCUUUCUUCAGCCUUUUUCCUCUAUUUUGGAUUGAUGGGCCCUCCAAUUCAGGCCCUCUUAAGUGUCCUGUUUCUGAACUGUACGCUUGACUCCUCUACAUUCUCUGAGAAUGACUGGAAGAAGUAAACAGAAAGACUUCAGUAUGGAGCAACCACAGUCCUUCCUUGAACAUACUGAAUUAAGAAGACCAUUUCAAAAAUUAAAAAGAAAGAAAGAAAGGCAAAAAGAAAGAAAGAAAGAAAGAAAGAAAGAAAGAAAGAGAGAGAGAAAGGAAGAAAAAGAAAGAAAGAGAAAAAUCGAACAAGGGAGGGGAGUAUGGAGGAAGAGAAGAAAGGAAAAAGAAAACAGAAAGAAAGGAAACAAAAACCAAAAGAAAAUAGAAAAAAUGAGAAAGAAACUAUCAGAAAUUAAAGUAUUGUUCAUAUUUUACUCAGGCUCACAUAACCUCUGUGGCAGGGCAAAGUGUAUUAAACAUUG